rnacentral:tRNA from 1 species
AGUGAGAUGGCUGAAAAUAUAGGCGAUAAAUUGUAAAUUUAUUUAUAGGUUUAAUAACCUUCUUUCUA